UACAGAGGUCCCAAGCGUUGUUCGGAUUCAUUGGGCGUAAAGGGUGUGUAGGUGGCGCCGUAAGUCGGGUGUGAAAUUUCGGAGCUUAACUCCGAAACUGCAUUCGAUACUGCGGUGCGUUGAGGACUUGGAGAGGAGACUGGAAUUCAUGGUGAGCAGUGAAAUGCGUAGAGAUCAUGAGGAAGACCAGUGGCGAAGGCGGGUCUCUGGACAGUUCCUGACACUGAGACACGAAGGCCAGGGGAGCAAACGGG
rnacentral:rRNA from 1 species